ensembl:snoRNA
UUGGUCCUGAUUCAAGGUCAGCAGUUUGCUGAAGCUGUUGGUUUCAAGCAGGAGACUAAAUGACUGUCUUUCUGUGGUCUCUUGACCAUUUUAUAACUUUGGAGAUGUAAUGGCCAAUUCAUUAGAAAGGAACAUUU